UACGUAGGCAGCAAGCGUUGUUCGGAAUUACUGGGCGUAAAGAGUGUGUAGGCGGUGCUCCAAGUCUGGUGUGAAAUCUCCCGGCUUAACUGGGAGGGUGCAUUAGAAACUGGAAUGCUAGAGGAUGGGAGAGGUAAGUGGAAUUCCUGGUGUAGCGGUGAAAUGCGUAGAUAUCAGGAGGAACACCGGUGGUGUAGACGGCUUACUGGACCAUAACUGACGCUGAGACACGAAAGCGUGGGUAGCAAACAGG
rnacentral:rRNA from 1 species